UGUUAAUAAUGAUGUCCGUGUUCUUUUUUAAUUUCAGAAUGUCAAAAUGCAAGUACAAAUUGUACUUAGAGCCUAACAGCACAAUUAAAUUACCCCGUGCAAGACUGAAAAGAGGACAUUUGGAUGCCUUGCCCUUCACAGAUGACUGCAAAGAUCAAAUCAGUUCAGGUUCACACACUGCAGAUGUUGAGGUGAGAGAGUAAUAUGCUCUUUAAGUUUGUGGUAAGACAUCAUUUCCCACUGAGCUUUACUACAUAUAGUACUGGUUUUUACUCUGUGCUUGUGCCAUCUCUUCUUCAUCCUGUGCAAAGCAUGUCCAUCUGGCCGCCUUGAUCUUCAGUUGGAUCCAGAUGACACGGCUUUGGCUUUCACUGGUGACCACAGAGAUCAAGGGGACAGAAUGAGUCCACACCUGAGCACCGCAGAUGUUGAGACCAUGUCUCCAUCUGGCCACUUUGAGCUUUACGCAUCAAUCGGAUCCAGAUGACACGACUGACCAGGUACUGCCUCUUACUGCCAACUGCAGAGAAAAUGACAGUGAAGUCAGACCAGGUUCAAGCUGCGCAAAUGUUGAGCGCAUGUCUUCAUCUGGUCACUUUCUCCUUACAUCUGAGCUGCAACCAAGUGACAUGGCCCUGCAGUUUGGUUGUGAUUCAUCAUCUGAAAGCAGUGUUUCUGGAGUUGAUUCAGAAAAUGAAGAUCUUCCAGAAGAUGAUCCAUUCAGACAGAUGGUUUUGAAACAGACAUGGAUUCAAUACUAAUGUCAGCAGGUACAAUGACAAAGGCUGAGACACUGCUCAUGGUAAUGAGUCAUCCAGCAAGGCAUAAUAUAACAGGAACACAACUUGAUGAUUUGUUAAAGCUCAUAAAUACUCUGUUUGUAAAGAGAUGUUACCCAGAUCAAAAUAUUUGUUCAACAAGGUCUUUAAAAACAACUCAGACAUAGUGGAGUUCCAUUUCUACUGCAAAACCUGUAAAAUAUACAUUGGCACGCAAGAUGACAUAAAAGACAAAAACAUUGCACUGUGUGCAAUCUGUAGUGCUCCCAUUGUUCAGUUCCUUGAACAGUGCAAGCUUUUUUAUCAACAUACCAAUUGUACCUCAAAUUCAGGCGCUGCUUGAAAAUCCUCAGAUUCAAAACAGCAUGAGCUACACACACCAAAGGCCACAGAAUGAACAUGUCAUAUCUGACAUAUAUGACGGUGAAAAGUAUCAAAACUUGUCAAAACCAGGUGGAAUUCUGUCAGAUCCAAGCAAUUUGUCAUUUAAUUUCAAUUCUGACGGCUCACCUAUGUACAAGUCUUCCAGAUUUUCAAUAUGGCCCAUACAGCUGCAUUUAAACGAGCUCCCUCCCAAAAUGAGAUUCCAGGAUGCAGUACUUGCAGGUCUUUGGUUUGGUGCUCAAGAGCCAGUCAUGUCCAUUUUUCUCAGACCCUUUGUUGAUCAGGCCAAAACACUGGCAUCCAAAGGUGUGUCUUGGAGAAAAAAUGGAACUUGUGUGAACAGCAAAAUUGUUGGACUAUGUUGUGGUGUAGACUCAAAGGCAAGACCAGCCAUGCAAAACACCACACAGUUUAAUGGGUACUUUGGUUGUGGCUUCUAUUUACAUCCUGGUACUCUAGUAGAGAAACAGGUGAAGUACACUGCCACAGAAUAUCCUGACAGAGAGGCGAAGAAAAUGCUGGCAGAUAUGGAGCGAGCAGUAGCACAAAACAGAAGUGUCAGAGGAGUGAAAGGUCCAUCACCACUCAUAAACAUGCCUUACUUUGAUAUAGUGUGGGGCUUUGUUCCAGACUAUAUGCAUGCUGUCUUACUUGGUGUCAUUAGACAGCUCACAGAGCUUCUUUUGAACAAUAAUGAUCAACCCUACUACAUUGGGAGUCCCAACACUAUGAGGGUGCUAGAAAACAGGAUCAAGGACAUAACGCCACCACACCUGAUAACAACACUACCCAGACCCCUUGCAGAGUUCAAGUACUGGAAAGCCUCAGAGUGGCGAGCAUGGCUCCUGUUUUACAGCUUGCCAGUCCCGAAUGCUGUACUUCAACCAUGCUAUGUGAGGCACCUAGGCCUUCUGGUGUCAGCAGUAUUUCUACUUUUGAAAGAGAACAUCACCUUCCAAGACAUCAACAAAGCAGAUAACAUGCCGCUUGAGUUUGUGGCAAGGUUUCAGUUACUGUAUGGGGAAGCAUCUAUGACAUUUAAUGUACACCUGCUAAUUCACCUUGCAAAGUCAGUGAAAUUGUGGGGGCCACUCUGGGCACACUCAGCAUUUGUGUUUGAAAGUGCAAAUGGUGGUCUGUUGAAACUGGUUCAUGGAACAAAGUGUGUAGCUCUGCAGAUUGUGAAUAAAUUCCUGUUGCACAGAGCAAUACCACUCUUCACCACAAGGUAUGCAGUUAGUUAGUUGCAGUUAGCAAGUUAAGGAGUUCUGUUUGGAAUUGACAACUGACUGAAGAGUAAAGAGUUUCACAAAAUGUCAAGACUCAACUGUUCUGGAUAAUGGCAGGGUGACAGAGACUACUGAUGAUGUGAAAAGUGCCUUAAUUUCUGCACAAAGACACGCACCAGAUGAAAUAGUAGUGCACAGGAGAAUGGUGCAUAAAGGACAAAAGCUAUGACCUGUUUUGCAAAGCUGAGUGAUGGUGUUUAUGGGGAAAUUCAGUAUAUCAUAUCCUUUCCUUCAGAAGGGGGUACAGAAAUUGCUGUACUUUUCAAAAAAUCUCAUACACAUGGCUCCUUUCCUUUAUCACAAGGAUACGGGUUAGUGUCAUAUAUCAGACUUGUAAGUGGAAGCCUUUUUUCUCCAGUGUAUCUGAUUUCAGUAGACAGGUUAGAGCAGAAAUGCAUGGUAAUAAAAACAGGUGAUCAGACAUACAUUUGUGACUUUCCAAAUGCACAUGAGAGAGACUAGUCUUGAUCAUAGAUGGUCAUUCUGUAGCUCGCUUUAAGCUGUAGUAAUCUUAAGCACCAGCUACCAGCUAAAACUAUGAUCAGCUGAAGUUUGUCCACAAGUGUGGUCACAUGAUAACAAGUGAUUGUAUAUUGGGGGUGGGUUGGUGGUGGUGGUAAGCCCUGUCUGUUCAAAGAUGAUCUCUUUCUUUGGGUGUGAAUGUUCUCCUUGAUCUUUCUUCGACCAUCCGCUGACUACUGGUCGUUGACUUUGACCCCUUCUAUGGCGUUUAUAUAGUGCCAAACAAAACCCGUGCAUAUAAAAACCAGGUACGCGAGCGGAAAACCAUCCUCGCAAGGGAGCAUUUGUGCUCUGCAAGCGCACAGAACAGUAUCCGCAAGCGGAAAAGCAUCCUUGCGAGGGAGAAUUUGUGCUCCGCGUGCACAAAUGCAGUCCCGCGAGCACGGGGCUGUGACGAGCACUCGCUCGACCCUCCCUACGCGCACGCAACUGCUCGGAGCGCUCGCUCGACCCUCCCUAUGUGCUCGCAACUGCUCAACACUCGCUCGCUUGUCAAGUUGACUUUUGUCACUUUGGAGGUGGGGACAGAAUAGACAGUGGCCAGAGACCAGAGUGGAGAGUGUCUCAGCCAAUCACAGCGUGACAUUGGAGGCCACGGCAGUUUGUCACGCUACGGGGCGGCGUUUUGAGCUAAAGUGGGUAGGAAAUUGUUAGGAUGUGGGUGUUGAAAGUGACCAAUCACAGGAGUGGAGACAUCAGCCACUGUCUGUUCCCCCUCUCGAUGUUUAUAUAUUUUUGUUUCUCUGUUCCUUGUUCUCUCUUUUCUGUGCUGGAGUUCUUUUAAGAGCUUGAUGGCUUCAACAUAUCCAGCCUGAUAUUAAACUUGUCAUUAACUUGAA